GUCGAAACGAUGACGACCGAGCUUGCUCGGUCUGAUUAGUGGCGAACGGGUGAGUAACACGUGAGCAACCUGCCCUUCACUCUGGGAUAACCUCGGGAAAUCGGGGCUAAUACCGGAUAUGAGCUCCUGUCGCAUGGCGGGUGUUGGAAAGUUUUUCGGUGAAGGAUGGGCUCGCGGCCUAUCAGUUUGUUGGUGAGGUAGUGGCUCACCAAGGCGAUGACGGGUAGCCGGCCUGAGAGGGCGACCGGCCACACUGGGACUGAGACACGGCCCAGACUCCUACGGGAGGCAGCAGUGGGGAAUAUUGCACAAUGGGCGAAAGCCUGAUGCAGCGACGCCGCGUGAGGGAUGACGGCCUUCGGGUUGUAAACCUCUUUCAGCAGGGAAGAAGCGAAAGUGACGGUACCUGCAGAAGAAGCGCCGGCUAACUACGUGCCAGCAGCCGCGGUAAUACGUAGGGCGCAAGCGUUGUCCGGAAUUAUUGGGCGUAAAGAGCUUGUAGGUGGCUUGUCGCGUCUGCCGUGAAAACCCGAGGCUCAACCUCGGGCGUGCGGUGGGUACGGGCAGGCUAGAGUGUGGUAGGGGAGACUGGAAACUCCUGGUGUAGCGGUGAAAUGCGCAGAUAUCAGGAAGAACACCGAUGGCGAAGGCAGGUCUCUGGGCCAUUACUGACACUGAGAAGCGAAAAGCAUGGGGGAGCGAACAGGAUUAGAUACCCUGGUAGUCCAUGCCGUAAACGUUGGGCACUAGAUGUGGGGAACAUUCCACGUUUUCCGCGUCGUAGCUAACGCAUUAAGUGCCCCGCCUGGGGAGUACGGCCGCAAGGCUAAACUCAAAGGAAUUGACGGGGGCCCGCACAAGCGGCGGAGCAUGCGGAUUAAUUCGAUGCAACGCGAAAACCCUUACAAGGCUUUGACAUGCACCGGACGACUCCAGAGAUGGGGUUUUCUUCGAACUGGUGCACAGGUGGUGCAUGCUUGUCGUCAGCUCGUGUCGUGAGAG
rnacentral:rRNA from 1 species